CAGCGCCACAAGUGGGAAUCGCUUUUAUUGGGCCUAAAGCGUCCGUAGCCGGUCUAGUAAAUCUCUUGUGAAAUCGUUCGGCUCAACCGAGCGGCGUGCAGGAGACACUGCCAGACUAGGGACCGGGAGGGGUCAGAUGUAUUCUGGGGGGAGCGGUAAAAUGCUAUAAUCCUCAGAGGACAACCGGUGGCGAAGGCGUCUGACCAGAACGGAUCCGACGGUGAGGGACGAAAGCCAGGGGAGCAAUCCGGAUUAGAUACCCGUGUAGUCC
rnacentral:rRNA from 1 species